UGGGGAAUUUUGGACAAUGGGCGAAAGCCUGAUCCAGCAAUGCCGCGUGUGUGAUGAAGGCCUUCGGGUUGUAAAGCACUUUUGGCGGGAACGAAAAGGACUGUGCCAAUACCACGGUUCGAUGACGGUACCCGCAGAAUAAGCACCGGCUAACUACGUGCCAGCAGCCGCGGUAAUACGUAGGGUGCAAGCGUUAAUCGGAAUUACUGGGCGUAAAGAGUGCGCAGGCGGUUUUGCAAGACCGAUGUGAAAUCCCCGGGCUUAACCUGGGAACUGCAUUGGUGACUGCAAGGCUAGAGUGUGUCAGAGGGAGGUGGAAUUCCGCAUGUAGCAGUGAAAUGCGUAGAUAUGCGGAGGAACACCGAUGGCGAAGGCAGCCUCCUGGGAUAACACUGACGCUCAUGCACGAAAGCGUGGGGAGCAAACAGGAUUAGAUACCCUGGUAGUCCACGCCCUAAACGAUGUCUACUAGUUGUCGGGGAUUAAUUUCCUUGGUAACGCNNCUAACGCGUGAAGUAGACCGCCUGGGGAGUACGGUCGCAAGAUU
rnacentral:rRNA from 1 species